CAAUCCUGCGUUCAAGAAAAUUACACAGUUCAAUUGUAAUGUCUUGAAGAUGGCGCUCGACAAUCCCGACGAAGAUAAAUUCGGUGUAGUGGUGUUUUAAUGUUUAUAUUCAAUGUUUCAUUGAAAGUUGACAGUUUUAAGCGAGUAGGAUCGGAGUUUUAAUUUCUAUGGUAUUAUUUACGGUAGACGGCGUAACUUCUAAAGAAAAUAGAUCUCCGUCCAGUAUUAAUUCGACGAUGUAACGUUUGCUACGUAACACGUACUUGUUAUCAACAUGGAAUGUGGAAUAAGGACGUGUCAAGGACGCAAGUGUCGCAUCCCCAUGCGUUACUUUCAAAAUACACUGAAACAAUGGCUAUGACACGAGGCAAAGAGAAAUCUUGAUUAAAAUCCCACGCGUGCCUCAUUAUCCGAAUUCUAUGAGCCGGGGAAUUACACGAAAGAUUUUCUACCUGUCUAUAAAAGGUG